rnacentral:miRNA from 1 species
UUUGUGACCUGGUCCACUACCC